rnacentral:rRNA from 1 species
CCUACGGGUGGCUGCAGUGGGGAAUAUUGCACAAUGGGGGAAACCCUGAUGCAGCGACGCCGCGUGAAGGAAGAAGUAUUUCGGUAUGUAAACUUCUAUCAGCAGGGGAGAAAAUGACGGUACCUGACUAAGAAGCCACGGCUAACUACGUGCCAGCAGCCGCGGUAAUACGUAGGGGGCAAGCGUUAUCCGGAUUUACUGGGUGUAAAGGGAGCGUAGGCGGUUCAGCAAGUCAGAAGGGAAAGCCCGGGGGUUAACCCCGGGACUGCUGUUGAAACUGGUGAACUAGAUUGCAGGAGAGGUAAGUGGAAUGCCUGGUGUAGCGGUGAAAUGCGUAGAUAUUAGGAGGAACACCGGUGGCGAAGGCGGCUUACUGGACUGUAAAUGACGCUGAGGCUCGAAAGCGUGGGGAGCGAACAGGAUUAGAUACCCCGGUAGUC